UCCAGCAGUAGUCAGCUGUCCAAGUUUUUAUCCCAUACCUGUGAUAGUGUUACACUGCUGGUAGAUGAAUGUGCUGCUGCUUACACUGGUCGUCACUGUCGCUGUUCUAGUGACAUGUGACCCCAGUCUUGUGCUGCACUGCUCUUCUCUGAAACUGCUGAUGGCCUGCCUUGGCUGCUUGGCAUUAGUCUGGAAGUGCACAUG